AAUAAAAAAAAAAAAAAAGAAAUUUUUGGUGACGAAACAAUGAAAAUUUUUUUAGAAAUUCAGGUUGAUGAUUUAGUUGAAUUGCAGCACGUUUCCUUGUGAGCAGUCCGUCGUCACGAAUUCCAAGAACAAACACAAAAUCAUCAACAGCCUAUUCGGUACUUGUCUAAUUAAAAUUCGCAUUCCAACUAAAUUUGAGAAGACAAAAAGCAAGCUCCUUUAUGAGAAGUCAUAAUUUUGAAGAUGAAAGAUUAUACUUACCUG
rnacentral:misc_RNA from 1 species